rnacentral:rRNA from 1 species
UACGUAGGGGGCUAGCGUUGUCCGGAUUUAUUGGGCGUAAAGAGCGUGUAGGCGGCCAGGUAGGUCUGGUGUGAAAACUCGAGGCUUAACCUCGAGAUGUCAUCGGAAACCAUCUGGCUAGAGUCCGGAAGAGGAGAGUGGAAUUCCUGGUGUAGCGGUGAAAUGCGCAGAUAUCAGGAAGAACACCAAUGGCGAAGGCAGCCCCCUGGGCCAGCACUGACGCUCAUGCACGAAAGCGUGGGGAGCAAACAGG